rnacentral:rRNA from 1 species
UACGUAGUGGGCUAGCGUUGUCCGGAUUUAUUGGGCGUAAAGAGCGUGUAGGCGGCCAGGUAGGUCUGGUGUGAAAACUCGAGGCUUAACCUCGAGAUGUCAUCGGAAACCAUUUGGCUAGAGUCCGGAAGAGGAGAGUGGAAUUCCUGGUGUAGCGGUGAAAUGACGCAGAUAUCAGGAAGAACACCAAUGGCGAAAGCAGCUCUCUGGGACGGUACUGACGCUGAGACGCGAAAGCGUGGGGAGCGAACAGG